rnacentral:rRNA from 1 species
UGCUUUUCUUGAUUAGUGGCGCACGGGUGAGUAAUGCAUAGAUAAUGUGCCCCUUAGUUCGGGAUAGCCACUGGAAACGGUGAUUAAUACCGGAUACUCCUUCUUGUUAUAAGACAAGUCGGGAAAGUUUUUCGCUAAGGGAUCAGUCUAUGUUCCAUCAGCUUGUUGGUGAGGUAAUGGCUCACCAAGGCUAUGACGGAUAUCUGGUUUGAGAGGAUGAUCAGACACACUGGAACUGAGACACGGUCCAGACUCCUACGGGAGGCAGCAGUGAGGAAUAUUGCACAAUGGAGGAAACUCUGAUGCAGCAACGCCGCGUGGAGGAUGACGCAUUUCGGUGUGUAAACUCCUUUUAUUAGGGAAGAUAAUGACGGUACCUAAUGAAUAAGCACCGGCUAACUCCGUGCCAGCAGCCGCGGUAAUACGGAGGGUGCAAGCGUUACUCGGAAUCACUGGGCGUAAAGGGUGCGUAGGCUGGCUUUUAAGUCAGAUGUGAAAUCCAAUGGCUCAACCAUUGAACUGCAUUUGAAACUGAAAGCCUAGAGUUCAGAAGGGGCAGAUGGAAUUAGUGGUGUAGGGGUAAAAUCCGUAGAUAUCACUAGGAAUAUCAAAAGCGAAGGCGAUC